GACGAACGCUGGCGGCGUGCUUAACACAUGCAAGUCGAACGAAGUUUUUCCUCUGGGAGAAUCUUAGUGGCGGUCGGGUGAGAAACGCGUGGGAAACCUGCCCUGCCUAGGGGGACAACCGCUGUAACCGGCUGCUAAUACCGCAUAAGCCCUUAGCACUGCAUGGUUCGUAGGGAAAGGUUGCAAUCCGGUACAGGAUGGACGCGCGUCUGGUUAGCCAUGUGGCAGGGUAACGGCCUACCAAAGGGACGAUCAGUAGCCGAUCGGAGUGGAUGUACGGCCAGAUUGGGACUGAGACACGGCCCAGACACCUACGGAAGAGAGGCGUAGGGAAUAUUGCGCGAUGGAGCGAGCUCUAAUGCAGCCACGCGGCGUGGGAGAAGAUUUGUUUGGGAAUGUAAUGCUCUAUCAGCAGGGGAGAAAGUGACGGUACCUGACUAAGAAGCACCGGCUAACUACGUG
rnacentral:rRNA from 1 species